GAAGGGGGAUGAAUAGUGAAGUACCUGGGAAGUCAGCUGUCAGGCAGGUUAUAAUGCAUCAUAAAUCCAAUAUCUAUAUUUAGUCCAUGCUUUUUAGUGUCCAGGAGGUUGAUGAAGUGGAGUUCUGAAGCCCAGAGCAGCAUGCAGCUGAAGCCGGCUUCCCACAUGCUGCUGGGGAUGGAAGGAGCCCAGCAGAAGUGGUGGUGGAGCCAUGUGCCACUCAGGACUGACCGGUGCAGGCAGGGGGAAAGUGCAGCUGAGCCCCUGCUCCUCCACCUCGGCUCAUCCCGUCCCAAGUGGUACAUGGCUCUGUCACAGCUUCUACUGGCCGGUGCAGACGCAGCCGGGCUCCUCUCAACCACAGCAGCACGUGGGAAGCUGACUUCAGCUACAUGCUGUCUUUCCUGGCUGGUGCAGACUGUCACAACCCAGUGAUUUUGGUGCCUCGACACUAUGGAAUUUUCUUGUCACAUGAGAGCCUCUUGCACAGCGAGGGUUUUUGCUGCAUAAAGAACCCGCGUGCAGGAGAGAGUUCCCGCCAAUUUGCAGCCGUCUUUGCAGGCUGCAUUUUCCCUUUGCAGCACAGAAGUGCACGGUGCAAAGAGUUCCCGCUAUUCGAAUGCAAAUCUGUGUCCCGCUAUUGGCUAGUGCUAAAUUAUUCACACGUGGUGGCUGGUAAUUGGCUUGCUGGCCGUUUAAAAAUUCGCGCAACUUCCGCCCAAGUUGAAGAACUUUAAGCACACUGCAGAGCGCCUCUAAAGAGAUCUGACUUGUGGCUAGCUGGUCGAUAGACUGAUCACCUAUUGAUCCUUCUUCCCGUUGCCGAGCGCAAUCCCAGACGUACACUUUUCCCGCUGGCUUAAGUUACGGACGGAUUUGCUGGCUUUGGCCUCGCCAGCUGGAACAACUUACAUUGUUGUUCAGACGACCGGACCGUUUCCGUCGCCACCACCCGCGACGUCUUACAGCACGGCUACACCUACAGUGUACCACUUGAAUCACAGCAAGAAACAAUGGUUUGUUUUCAGAGAUUCAACGGAGGAAGACUAAAGCAUGGGAGCUCAGGAUGAUUCAAGUCACCAUGUCCCUUUAGUACCGAGCCUUUACUCUAUGCUCUUCCCCCCACCCCAUUCACUUGCAAAGCAAGUACUUACUUGUGGUUGAGCCAGCUGCAGAAGUUGUUGUUCCAGGGACCUUUAAACCAAAUCCAAGAGUCCCAAGAGUGGAAGUUCCAGUUGAGGUGGCACCAACUGCAAUCAAAAGAGAACAUAAAUUUCCUGAAUGACUCACUAAACCAGGCUUCCCUUUUGAAAGUUGCUCUUGCUUUGCCCAUAGACCCAAGCUUUUAUUUCUACUGGCAAAGUACUGAGGGAAUAUCCAGGCACUGAUGGCAUCUUAUGAAGGUUGAAAACCAUGAAGACUUAAAACAUAGACACUGUGGACUUCAGAAUAGUUUUAAAGAGAUGUUAUCAAUUCACUUGCCAGGCUACUAACAGUUCUGUUUGGCUAAAUGCUGAACUGUCCAAACUGGAAGAUAGGUGAAGGGACUCAGACCCAGGAUUGAAGGCUGUCUGGGAACAGUCUUGACAGGCUGAUAUCUCAAAAGUUACAUAAUUUUUUUGAGAAAUCUCUCCAAGAGUCUAUCUGGUUGGGCACUACAAUUUGACAGACUGAUAAAAAUGCAGUGUAAUAUCAGAUGCAAGACUUUUCACCCCUGGGUGUAUGAUGAAAGCAUAAAAAACUUACAGAAGUGCUUUAAUAGAGGAUACAAGAAUGUCUGAAGGUCAUUUAGGAAUUCAGUGAAAAAGUCAACUAAGGAGCUGGGGAGUACAGUUAACUAUGAUAGAAGACAGUACAUGCCUGUUCAGUGUGAAUGUCAAAAAAAAAAAAAAAAGCUUUACCACUUGAAAGCAGUGGUUGAACACAAGAGUUAAACCAUGGAAAUGACCAGUGGAUCAAAUACAACCUCAGAAGACAUUGUUAAUAACCUUCACAAUUAUACAUUCUAGCAGUCCUUCGAGGAAAGAUAUGAAGCCAAAUCAAUUUGUUAGAAUUCCAUUAAUUUCAGCGGAAUUAGAUUAGGGUCCUAUCAGCUCCCCUUUUUCAAUGCAGAACAGACUCCAUAAACACUGGAUGCUGCAACAUACAUUAUACAUUUGGUUGGCGCAAUCCAGCUAGGCUGCAUUCCUCUAAAUUCUAAGACUAAGGAUCUGAAAAUAACUGCCCACCACCUUCCAGUGGAAAUAAGUUACUUUUAAGAAAAAGAACCCAAGACUUCUGUGAACACUGACUUGGACUAAGGGAGCAGUGUUGACAGAAGAUAAAUAUUUAUCUUUAUGUAUAUUUAAGGGGAUUAGAUACAUCUUUAACUAUCAAAUCUGUUAUUUGAUCACUUGGAUCCAAUAGUACUAAUAUUUGUGAUUACUAUCCAGUAAUAUUUAGAUUUUUCUAAAAUCAUAUAACUCUGACCCAUUGAGGAAAGCAAGUUGAGUUUACAAACAAGAUGCUCCACAUGUAGUGUUACCAAGACUACAGGACUUAUCUAAAAAUGAAGACAGCUGAACAGCUCAGAAGCUCUUGUUCAAUGCAAACCCAAUUAGUAUUCUGUGAGCACAAAUCACAGCUAAUCAGAACAAAAAACUUCAGGAUAUGGUGGUUAAAGUCACAGAAUUACAUAUGUUAAAUAAGGUGUGAGCAAAGCACACUGCCUGCAUGCAUGUAGCAUGAACUGAACUAAUGUAGCUAUUGUUAACAUAGAGCGUAAUAGUAGUGAAACGUAACCGUGUUAGUUUUAUUCUGUAAGUAACUUGAAAACUCCAUUUUUGUACUCUUUUGCUUGACAUAAGUAAAUAAACUCUGUAUGCCCUUUUUGAAUAAGUAAAUGUGAAAGGAUAAAUAGUAGAAGAAUGGCAUAAAGACAGGAGAAGAAGAUUUAACUUUUUAUGUAAGCAACAAGGUGCCAAAUGUAAGUUACCAGUCAGUAAACUAAUUAAUAGAUGGCUGAUGAAUCCCUUUGAGGCCAAGCACGAGAGAGAGAGGAAGAAAAAUGCACACAUCCUGCCAAACAGGCUGCAAAAAACCCCAAAGCUAAGAUACUAACUUUGAUGACCGAACUGACCUCAAGCUGUGGUAAGCUGAAGACAAAUGAAAAAAAAACCCUCUAAUUAAAGACUGAGCAUGGAAAAACCCAAAUGCUAAACAGAGACUUAAAAUCCCUAUAAGUAAAAUGCAGACAAGCCAAAAUGGGGAAAUCCACUCUGCAACCUAAUGAAGCACAGGCAUGCAUGCCUGUAUACCUCUGCUCAUAUCCUCAAUAAGCCUAGACCCGGCCAUCCAGUGCUAAUAUUGAGUAACAUCUGCUGAUAAAUAUAACAUCUUACUAAAGUAGUUUUGUCUGUAUGUCUGUUUGUAUGUAUAUUUGUGUAUGUCUGUUUGUAUAACUGGCAUGUCCAAGCUUAUGUAUCUGCUUCAUGUAAUCAAUAAACAGGGCAUUUUGCCUUAUUCCCCUUUUUAAA